ensembl:snoRNA
GCGUGGUAAUGGGUUCACUGGGGUCCCUUCUCUGUGGGCCUCAUAGCGUACCCAUGCCAGUGUAAACUUCAGCCUUGAACCAUUGCCCAGCCUCCUUCCCAUGGGCUGUGUGUAGCGAAGGGGGUUGCACAGUG